GGUUGUAUAGUGUAGCGGUCAUCACAUCGGAUUCUGAUUUGGUCUUCAUGGCUUGAUCAUUCCGGGAACUCCGGUUCGAUUUUUGGUACGACCU